rnacentral:rRNA from 1 species
GAUGAACGCUGGCGGCGUGCUUAACACAUGCAAGUCGAACGAAGCUGCUUAAAAGAAGUCUUCGGAUGGAAUUUAGGUAGACUUAGUGGCGGACGGGUGAGUAACGCGUGGAUAACCUGCCUUAUACAGGGGGAUAACGGAGAGAAAUUUCCGCUAAGACCGCAUAAGACCACAGCACCGCAUGGUGCAGGGGUAAAAUAUUUAUAGGUAUAAGAUGGAUCCGCGUCCGAUUAGCUAGUUGGUGAGGUAAAGGCCCACCAAGGCGACGAUCGGUAGCCGGCCUGAGAGGGUGAACGGCCACAUUGGGACUGAGACACGGCCCAAACUCCUACGGGAGGCAGCAGUGGGGAAUAUUGGACAAUGGGGGAAACCCUGAUCCAGCGACGCCGCGUGAGUGAAGAAGUAUUUCGGUAUGUAAAGCUCUAUCAGCAGGGAAGAAAAUGACGGUACCUGACUAAGAAGCCCCGGCUAACUACGUGCCAGCAGCCGCGGUAAUACGUAGGGGGCAAGCGUUAUCCGGAUUUACUGGGUGUAAAGGGAGCGCAGACGGCAAUGCAAGUCUGAAGUGAAAGGCGUGGGCUCAACCCAUGAACUGCUUUGGAAACUGUAUAGCUUGAGUGUCGGAGGGGUAAGCGGAAUUCCUAGUGUAGCGGUGAAAUGCGUAGAUAUUAGGAGGAACACCGGAGGCGAAGGCGGCUUACUGGACGACAACCGACGUUGAGGCUCGAAGGCGUGGGGAGCAAACAGG